rfam:Paramecium bursaria Chlorella virus FR483, complete genome.
GGCGUCCUAGCUCAGUCGGUUAGAGCAACAGGCUGUUAACCUGUAGGUCAUCGGUUCGAUUCCGAUGGAUGCCG